rnacentral:lncRNA from 1 species
GGCCAAGGAUUUGCUUUUUCAUGCUCUGAUGAGCAAAGCCAGCCAUAGAGACAGAGCGAGCCCUGAACCAAACCUGUACUCCGCCAUUUCACACAGCAGCCUGGGUACUGUAUCUAGGAGAGCUGGCCACAUGUCUGCCCUUGGUUCUGACCUGAGCUCUAGGGGCUGAUAUGAUACUCUCUGGAAAACCAGAAUGCCACUUUUGAGUCAAAAGUCACUCACUCUGUAACAAGUUAAAGCAAGGCAGCCAUCAGACUGCUCAAAGGGUUUUUACAUUAAACCAACAUAUUCUGUUAUUGCUUCCAGGGCAGCAGAAGAAGCCUUUGU